AACCUGGAAAGUUCUACUAGAAGCCCACAUAAGGGAAGUCAACAUUGUCUCCAUUCCAACUACCGGAAUCACCAACAUUGUACACUGUGCCGCCAAUCACGGUUGUGCUGAAUAAAUAAAAAACAACCAUCAUCGAGAAGAGAAACACGGCUUCCUUUGUGAAGAUCAUGACUUGACCUCCAAAACAGAAAAACAGUAGGUGUUCUGGAAAUUCAGAAGGAGCUACUUAGAACUCAAGGGAUGUUGUAGCAGCACUUUUGCAUGAACUAUCAGUAUAUAACUGUUCAGCAGACUUCUGCUGCUGAAUGCACCAUGAUGUUUGAGUGAAUAAAGAGCCAAGGCUGAUCUGGGAGUCCAGUAGCACUCACAAUUUGUGCAUGAAUUGAGCUAAUUGUAUGAGUAGAAUGUGUUGCAUGCUCUAAGAAAGCUAUGCUUAAGUGUAAUACUUAUUUCAGUGUGACUGGAUAUAACUUCAAUUAAGAAAGAAAAAAAUCUGUCUCUCCAAAGAAUUUCUUUGGGCAAAAUUGUAUCUGCAUCGUGCUAACUUCAGGCAAAAUAACCUUAGUAGUAAAAAAAAAAAAAAAAAAACCCAGUGUAAUCCCACAAGUGGGGUCUUGGGAGGAGGGUAGAGUGGUAGAGUGUACACAGACCUUACCUUUGAGAAGGUAGAGAAGUUGUUUCCGAAAGACCAUGGCUGGAUAAACAGUGAAAAAGAGACACUAGCAACAAAUGUAAACAACAAGAAGAUGAUAAUAAGAAACCUUAGCAGUAAACACUACUAAGGUUAUCUAAGUUGCUCUCCAACCUUAGUAGUAAACACUCCAAGAUACAUUUCAAUGAGGUAAAUAAAACAAAUUUGGUGACCAUGCCAAUUAUGCUAUAAAAAUUUCAAAGCAAAAUAUUACAGGAGUAGAGAAAACCACUCAUCAGCAUAUAAAACAUAGAUCUAAGUUCAGUUUGCAAGAGAUUAAAUCUCUACUUCAACUAUUUAAAGAGAAUCAUCCAACCAAUAGAACCUAACAUGAGUUAUGUAGAACUUCUAAGGGGGGGCAACAGUUGAAACUAGCCAAUAUCACCACAACUCAAUUCCUCGUGUUGAUAAAAUUCUCUUUAUGCUAAAGAAGUAGCUACUAGUGAAGUAGAGAAGCCAAGUUCGACUCGACAUCUUCGUUGGCUUUGUGAUCAAAUGACUCAUCACCAAUAUAUAGGUCUAGGAUUGAUCUGCA